rnacentral:lncRNA from 1 species
GAGCAAUAUACAGACCCAGAUAAGAGCUCGCCGACACCAUAUGGUUACAGAAGGCCGUAUUAAGCAAAAGAAAUUGGAAAACCAGUUGAAACUUGACGCCAAACUUCAAGAGUUAGAGGUACUACUGACUAUUACCUAUUUGGAUUAUAGCUUUCGUAACUUAAUUAAUGAAACAGUAUCAUGUUGCCAAAAAAUUAAAACUUGGACCAUCUUUUUUAUUUAUUUGAAAAACAGUGAAAAUUUUGUAAUGAAAAGCUAUUAAAAACCUCUAAAAUGUAUUUUACAAAUUUCUUUUCUUUCCUGCAUGUUCCAAAUUAACUUGCUGCAAAUUUCCGAAAUAUGACCUCAUUUUUCGUGGUUUGAGUCUUAUGUGCCAGAGAAUAUGCAAUUGUUUGCUGUUUAAAAAGUUUAAUGUGAAAAUACAGAAAAAUUAGUGUUUUGUACAAAAAAUGCAAGCUGUCGUCUUCUUGUUUAUGUGGGAUUCUUAUGACUCUUUCUAUUUGUGCUACAAAAGAAUUAUGGGGUCUAUGAAAAACCAAUGAAUCUGCCAUAGAAAGGAGGAGUUGAUGAGUAAUCAAUGAGCUUGGCCCUACGUACUGUGUGGACUGGUGGUUGUUGGCCUUUUCCUUUUCCUUUGAGAUGGAGCUGUUUGGCUAUAAAUGAAACUCGGCCAACAGGGAAAUGUCUUGUAGUUUAGUUGAGUGCCAGAACUCAAUCAUGCAUUAGUCUGACCUUAUCAUGCUUGAGAGUAGCUACAAGCACAGCUUCUUCUUCUUCUUCUUCUCCUUCUUUUUUGUAUGAAUACAAGCUCAGCUAUUUUAAACCUAAAUAUUCGAUGUAGACAAAUGAUGACGUGACUGUCAUAGCAUGGUUGGAAUUUUGCGUAAGUUUUCUUGUAGUGCAAGUGUUGUUCGAUACCAUUACCAAAACAUAUUGCUUAAAGGUUUGUACAGAAAUAUACAUGCUCCGAGAGAAAUUGAAUGCAUCCAAAGUAGUUAGCUCCCAAGAGAAAGGCAGUUGCCCAAUAAUUAUUGCAUGAAGCAACAGCCAAGAUUUCAAGAUCUACCAUCCACAUUUUCUAACUCGGUUUUGAUAGGUGGAGUGGUGCGGUGGCUCCGAUACCAUGGAGGAGAUUCUUUCCAGGAUCCAACAAAGAGAAGAAGCAGCAGUAAAGCGUGAACGAGCCAUGGCAUAUGCCUUCUCUCAUCAGGUCCAUCAACUGUGAAAACUAUGAACACAUCAAUUUAUUAUAGUUUCUGGUUCAGUUGACGGUAAAUAAAUGUUGUGAGUUAAUAUGAUUUUCAGUGGAGGGCCAAUCCUACACGAUAUCUAGGCCAGGCCUAUUACAUUCUUGGCAAAGAAAACUGGGGUUGGAGCUGGAAGGAGCGCUGGGUUGCUGCGCGGCCAUGGGAGGUUCGAGUUCAUGCUGAGCCUAAUAACCUCAAGAAAGUUCAUUCCAGACAAGGGAGCAAAACGGAGAUUAAAAUACCAGUACUGUCAACCAAACAUGCUCUGUCAAACGGGAAGGUGAAUGCUAAAGCUAAAAAGUUGUCCAGCCCAGCCGUGGAUUAUCAAGCAACCCAGGAUGCCAGUUCUACUGCCGGCUCAUCUCAUUUGUUGAUUCAAAGUUGAGUUAAUUAAGUAUAAUUUAGCAAAUCAUUUACUUGGAAACUUGUACACACUCCUUGAUCCUGUGUUUUUGUUUUGUUUAUUGUGGGGUUGGUGUGAGAUUUGCGUGCAGUGUGAAAAGAUUGUAACAGACAGAAAAAUGUUUUCAUGUUUAUUGUGAGAUUUGGUUUAGUGUCCGGGUCAAAUCAUUUUUUUUAAUAUAAAAAAGUAUUUAAAUGUUGCAAAUGUGUUCUGUAAUAAUAAAAAAAAUUAAUAAUGAAUUUAAAAUAUGAUGCAUAUUGAAUGAUUUUUUUUUAAAUAUUGAUAUUUGGAUGAUAUUUGUUUUUAAAAAUUAUUUUUUAAUUUAAUAAUGAAAGACAAAAUUAAUAAAUAAUAUUAAAUUAAAAAAAUAUAAAAAAAACUAUUCAGAAAACUCAGGUUAACCUAUUAAACUUGCGAUCUAAAUCAUGAAAUCGAGAUAAUUUCAUAAAAAAAAAAAAAAACUCACUUCCAAUAUAUCUAACUACUUACUUAACUUGUGUUAUGCCACAUGUUGUAUUUUUUUUCAAUAAAUUUAUUUGGAUAUAUAUGUUUUACCAAUGUGUUUUUUUUACAUAAAAAAAUUAUCAGUGUAUUAAAUACACUAAAUAACCAUAUGUAAAUAAAUAAUAAAAAAUAAUUAAUGAUAAUUAAAAACAAAACUAGAAAAAUUAAGAGACAUGUCUAGAUCAAGAUAUUUGAUAUUGCAAUAAAGAACAUUUAUUCGGUUGUGUUUACAAAAUUUAUUUAUUUUAUUAAAUCAAACGAUAAUAGAAAUAUAUACACAUGAAAUUGAUUGAAUAAAACAAAAAGAAAAAAACUAUUAUGCAAAGCUGCAUACAUUAGAAAUAUCAUCUAAAAAUAAAUUUAAUCUAAAUAAAACAUAAAAAAAUAUUUAUAGGUGAAUCAAAAUAAUAUCUUUAAAAAAUAAACACGUAUAAAAUAACUAAGAAAAAACCACUAUUAAAAAAAGGUUAAAUAAUCAAAAUAAAAAAUCAUAAAGAAUGAAAAUUAAUCGAAACAUAAAAUAAAAAAUUAUUUUAAAAAGAAAAAAAAAACAUAUCAAUAAAAAGCAUCAAUAAAAAAAAACAAUAAAAAAACGUGUUUCAAAGAAAUAAGAAAAAUAAACAACUCAGGUUAUACCCCAUUUUUUUAAAAAAAAUCAAUAUUGAUUAAUAAAAUCGAAAAGAAAAUGAGUAAAAAAAAAAAAGGAAUGUCAAUCUAUAUUAACUUUUCAAGCGCAUGACCCGAGUCAUUAGGCUUGAAACACUAUAAAUGAAAAAAACACAGCCCAAUCCUAAAAAAAAACCAAACGUUAAUUUUUACCCUUAAUAAAUCAAACGUUGAAUGAUUAAACUGGGAAAAAAAUCAAUUACACAGAAAGAUCUAAAACAAAAAAUUACAAUUAAAAGAUGAGGGUGAAAAUUUAAACAAAAAAUAAAUUAGAGGACAAUUUUUUUUUAUUGAAAGGUUAAAUUGAGAAGAAAAAUAACUUUAAUAAAAUGAAAAAAAUUAAAAGAAUAAGAACUAAAUUAGAAAAAAUAAUAGACUAUAAAAUUUUGAUUGAAGGAUAAAAUUAAAAGUCAAUAAAAUUAAAUCUGAAAUAUACCAAAAUUUAAAAGAGAUAAAAUUUAUUAUGAAUUGUUCUAUUUUUUAAAAUGAUAAAAAGAUAUAUCUGUCAUUUUAGGCAAAACAGAACAAAAUUCACAACCUUAAUCAAAGCUGAGGCAUGGAGCUCCAAACCACUCGGAAACUUGGGACGGAUGAAUUUUAACCGUGUAAUUCAUUAAUGUUUUUACACUAAUUCAUUGUUAGUUGUAUUGCUAGGCAAGAACAACUACAUCCCAACAAGAUCUUCCAUACCUAGCCCCAAUAAAAUCUGUUUUUUUUUUCUCUGGUAAAUCUUAAUUUACUAAUGCACUAUUCAGCACAGUCAUCUCAUGCGUACAGUUAUCCCCGCCAGCCACCCUAUUUUAUUAGCUUUCAAUGAGGGUGGCAAAAGGAAUUUGAUGUGCAGUUAAACUUAGAGUUGUAUUUGCAGUAGUAAUUAUCAAUCCCGGAAUAAACAAGACUAUAGCAAAAUGUCACCAUCUCCAAUGAAUCCAAGUGUUUCAUUUUUGUAUGUUUUUAGCUUUUUCCCAGGGCAAAAAAUUCCAGCUAGGCUGAGGGGGCUGAGAAUUUACAGGGUUGGGGAACAAAGACAUGACAAAGUAUCAAAAUUUUAGUGGUAUCCAUCUGUGUAUUCUUCCAUAAUUGAGUUUUGUUGUGUUCAUCCCGUUCUACUUUCAUGGACAUGGUUCCUCCAGCAGUGCACUCCACUUAGCCCCGCUUGUUCUACCCUUUGAAUUUAUCUAAUCUUAGCACUCAUCGAUUACGCCAAGAAUGACAGACCAUGACCAUCGGAUUCCUCACAACCUGAUCUAAAUGCAAAUGUAAAAUCCAGGAGAGCUUGUACUUCAAAUCCCACAUCCACAAUCCAGGUGCACAUAGGCCCCAAAACAACACUUGGAUCGCUUUCACACUAGCUAGAUGAAAGAAUUCAGAUUCUACCAAUUUUGGUAACUGUGGUUUUGUUGGUAAAUAUUUUCUGAUAUGGAGAAAGUAGGUAUCCAUCCUUGUUUUGCUUUCCCUUAUAUAUGGAGCUCUCUAGUUACUUUUACACACAAGCUUAGUCACAUCACACUAAAGAAGCUAGCAAAACAGAAAGACGACACUACGGAGUAAAUGAGACUAUAAAACACAAUUCUCCACUCAAAAGGUCAUAAAGUCUCCAUUUCUUUUCCAGUUUCCUAUUCUAUUCCAUUGCAAAAGAGCUUCAAUUAUUGAUGGAAAAUUGACUCCCCGAAAAUCUGAGGAACGAAAGAGAUGUUAAAGAGGGUUUAUUCUUUCAAUUCUUUAGGCAGGAAGAUGUUGAGGCAUCAAAAGGCAGAAAAGCAACAAACAGAAACAAUCACGAAGAGAAACUCUCUUUCAUCUACAUGAAUUAAACAGAGGAAAGGGCCCUUAUUGUGUUUCUCACAUUUUAUGAUAGCGAAGAAAAUAACAUGCAGCUCAAAUGAACAAAGAUGUAGGAUUGAGCAAGGGGAAAUGCUACUACAGAAAGUCUUUAUUUGCUGGUCUGGGGUUGCAUUGAAAAUCAUUGUAAGGAUACCAGAUUACUAUUAUAUAUGCAUAUCAGGUCUGCUCUAACUGGGGAAACACGAAACUUUUCAUCAAAUCAAACUGGCUCUGCUUCUAUCAGAAAUGGAAUCAAAAUACAAAAAAGAAUCCAUGACAUGCAAAAACUCUAGCAACAUAAACACAGUCAAUCCAACAAAAGCUCGAAGCAAAUUAAUUUGAGCUAUCAAAGCCCUCUCAAACAUGGAAACUAAAACAACAACUAGAACAUAAUACCAAAUAAACAUCUAAACAAGCCAGGCAUCGAAAAACCUGAAAUAUCCACCCGUAUCUCUCUCUUUUCCCACGGUAUUUGAGAUUGAUUCAUCUCCAAGUGGCCAAAAUCCCAUCCUCCGAGCCUAUCUUGAAAACAUCUUCUUAGCCCCAUAUUAGUCUCUCUUACACAAUGCACAAGUCCUGCAAGAACAAGCUAUCAUGAGCAAAUGAUGAAUUUGAGAAAGGCGAAAGUAAAAAAAGAAGGAUUAUAGAUAGGUGGAAUUUGAGAAAUGGGCUUGAAGGUAGCACCUGGAAAAGGUGAGAUUUUGGGUUUUUUUGCUCAAUCAACUGCGAGAAUCAGAGGAAGCAGAGGACGGCUUGUUGUGAAUGCCGUCGCGCUCCUCUUCUUCGCCUUGAAUUCGUGUUGGAACUCGAAACCCAGAAAACCCACCAUCUGAGGCAGUGAAUCCAAUGCCUGAUAUUGCAGUUUGCUGCUGCUGCUGCUGCAGCUGAAGAUGAUGAUCAGGAGUGAUUGCCGGGUCUAUCCAAGCACGAAACGAAGGCGUGUUACUGGACUGAAGGGUUCCCCUCUGUGAAAAAAACUGGUUUUGGCCGAAAAACGGCUGUACAAGUGGCGAUGGCGGCAUCGUCUGUGGUGGUGGUAGUGGUGCAUUGAAGAUGAGUCCUGCACUUCCUCCACCGCCACUACCAGCAUCUGCUGCAUUCCAAGCCACCAAAUUUCUUUGGAACCGGGUAAUUUCUUGUGGGUGGUGCUGCUCAGACCACCCACCAGAAGAGCAAUCAAAGCCAACAUGAUGGGCAGUGGUUCCAGAGAACACUUGAUGUUCACUUUGAGCUUGAUGACCAUGAUGGUGUGCUUGGUGUUGCAAAAGAAUUGGUCCUUGAAAUGAUAGGAGCGAAAGCCUCAGAUCUUGGCUCUGGCUGCUGGUUCUUGACAUCAAAUCUGGUGGAUAGUUCUGAAACUGUAUAGUAGGAGACGAUGUCUCCGUAGAUGCACCCAAUAUUGGAAAGAAAGUUUUGAUUGUGUCAGCGAUGACAUCUGAUUCUAAAGAUGGUGGCAGAAAACCCAAACUACUGUUGGGGUUUUCUGCCAUUUGCUGUUGCGUAUUUUGAACUUCAGCAAUUUUUGAAGUAGCAACAUUUUCUACGGAAAGCCCAUACUCCUUCUCAUCGCAUAUGUUUUGUUGUUUGGUGCUUCUAGUAGCAGUUUUACUAGUUUUGGGGGUGAAGCCCGCUGUGGUUGGAUCCCAUGCGGGUAGUUCUGCGAGCUCGUCUAUGGAGGUCUUGGCUUUCUUGAUGAGCCAAUCGACAGCUUUGCUGGGACGAUCGUAGCCGAGGCGGUCCUGCACAUCGUAGAACUGGAUAGCAGUGUGGGCUGAGAGCCGGACGCGGCGGUCUCUGGGGCCUUUGGCUGUACAGACCUUGCUGUGGCGGUCUUUUCUUCCUGUAGGCCGAACAAUGAGGCCUCCUUGGACCUCCACAAUCUCUCCCACUGUGUUGCUUAUCCCCAAUCUAGACGAUGUUGCUGCUUGGUGGUGGCUCUCUCCCAUUUUCUUGCAUAUUCGACGCUUUGCUCCUGGAAGGUUAAGGAGGAAGAAGAUGGAAAAUAAGAUCUUUUCUUGGAUGGUUGUAGAUGACUGCUGCUGUGUGUGUAAUCCUGUUACAAAUGUUGGUUUUGGUCUUGUUGGGGCUGUGCGUUUUGGAGAUAUUGGUGGUGAACAAGAAAGGGCAGCACUUGUUGAUGAUGAUAGUAGUGCUCUUUGGGUGAUUGGUGAUCCUUUUCUCUCCUCCUCCUAUAUGUCUUGAAUUUGGGACUCUGUUUCGAGGCACCGGACCCAGACCCUUGUACCUUUUCUGUUCCAGCUUUUAAUGGAGAAUACUUUUCUUUAAUGGGUGGGGCUUGCCUCUUUACUGCUCUCUCUAAUUUGCUGCUUCCUAAUCUCUUUUUGUAGGUUGUGCAACAGCUGCCACCACUCUGAUACCUGAUAUUGCUGCUUCUGCUGCCCCUCCCAAAAGGUUCUGCCAUUCAAUAUUUCCACUUCCAUCAAACCCAACAUCACCUAAAACGGAAAACCAAGCCUGAAAGCCUAUGCCCGCCCUAUGUGAAGCCUAACCCAUCGCUUUCCUCUUCUCUCUAUCUGCACAUGGAUAAUGGCUUUUGAUAAAUGUUGUACUAUGCACUAACUAAAAGGGUAAUAUGGAUAAUACCCGCUAGAGAAAGAAAACCCAAAACAAGCUAUGCACACCCAGAUUUUCCAGAGGGGUCUUCUUGGGAAAUAUCCUGCAGUUCUUUCAUUAUUUUGUAUCGAAAGACACAAGAGAGAGAGAGAGAGAGAGAGAGAAGGGAAGAUAGAACAGUACAAUUAAUAUUGGGGCUAAAUUCUGUUUUCCCUUCUUGACCCACAAGAAGAGUCGUCCUUGAUGAUGCCACUGGUAAGUGUGGCAGAGUUUGGUCAGAAAUGAGAUUAAAGAUCCCUGUGACCUCAUCACUGAGUCUGCUACUGUUCUUUGUACUGAUACACAAAGUGCCCAAAAACACCAACCCAGAGGCAAUCAUUCAGUCAAGGCUCCAGCUUUCAACUCCCCCCCUCCCUCCCUCCCUCUCUAACCUCUUCUUAAGUUUUGUAUGUCUCUCUCUCUCAUUCGGUUAUUUUAACUUGUUUAUAAGUUAGAACCGUCGGCUGUAGUUCAAAAGGGGUGAGACUCUCUCUGAUGCUUUCAGAGAUUAGCCAACACAUCAUCACACCUUUUGAAAGUGACUUCCACUUUUUUCAAUGUUCUGUCUCUCUCGCUUCACUCAAACGAAAACAUCAUCUUUCCCUCAAUACUCCUAUCUUCCAGCCUAAUGCUUUCGUCGCUGGAUUUCUUUACAAAGCCUCUUAAUCCUUAAGAGCUUGUCUUUUUAUUUUUCCCUUGAACCAACAUAUGUUUCCCUCAUAUUUAUCAUUUUCUAACAUUAUUUGAAACUGAAUUAUUUAUUUAACCAUAUUAUCUUUUCCCAAAAUGGGAUUUCCUCAUCCAUUGGUAUUAAAACUAGAUUUGCUGCACGCACUUCGCUGCAAAAUUGGAAAUGAGUUAUCAAAUGGUUUGGUUUUUGACGGGAAGGCAUAGCCAUAGUUUUUUCAUUCAUGAGAGACCAGUAAGCAAAGAUGCGAUAGAUUUACUAUAGGUUUGACUUGGCGACGUAAAUUUCCAAGCAGUAAGUAUUCGCAAAGAAAGCUAGCACCCAUUUUUCCCAAGUUCAGAUGAAAAUAGAAAACAGGAAAAGCAAAGUGAUGAGGUAGUUUUUUAUCUCGUGGGUUUGAAGGGUGGAUUUGGAUACAGAAUAAAAUCACUAACAAUCUAUCCACUCUCGGUGAAAACCUAGGUAGGUCAUUAUCAAUUUAGAUCCUCUCCAAUUGUUAAAUUAGUAUUGGUUUAACGAGAAAUUGAUUAUACUUUUUUUAAAAAAAAACUUUUGAAACAAAUAAUUAUAUAGAAAAAAUUAAACCUAGCACGAUAAUUUUUUUUCUUCUUUUAUAGCCCUUGGGGUGCUUCUUUUCUUUAUAGAGGAAAGAUUAACCGAUAUUUCUUUUCAAAAUCAUCACCUCUCUUUUCAUCUAUGAGAUGGGGUAUUUAUUCCUUCUUUAGGGAUUUGUGAGGGAUGUGUUUAAUUAUUGCCAGCUAGGUUUAUACCAGUUGUAUCCCAAUAAGUAAACACUCAUAUUUACUUUUGAAAACCUUUGUAAAAUGGUUGGGCUCGAGCCCAUUGUACAUGUCUUUAGAAGUUGUUAUCAAUUGGUGGCUAGCACCGAUGACGACAACAACAUGUGUUAGUUCUUCACCUUUGUUAACAGGAGAAACAAUGCUAUGAAGAAUAUGUUGAUCGGAAAACCCAACUAUACUAAAAAGUGGAAGGGGAAGUGGUUGGUCAUAAGACAUACUAGGGUUUUCAAUCGAUAGGGAGGACUGCAGCAAAUCUGGGGCUACUCCUUUUAUUCGAAGAUUUCUCCCUACGAGGUAAACAACAAGUCUUGUUUGAUCUUGAACAAGGAGAAAAACUGUGUUGUACUAGAUUUAACUAAAAUCAAUUAUAAAGUCAACAAAAUGACUAAGGGGAAUUACUAGGCUAUUUUGCAAGGUAUAAAGUCAUCCUGUCAUGAUUUGUUUUUGCUUGUUUUAGAAUCUAAUAUUCUUUUGUCCCUAUAAGGUUGAUAGUUGGAGGAGAAGAAGAGGUGUCGUUGGAGACUUCUAUUAAUAGUCUACCCACGAGGUCUUCAUCUCAGGCCAUUGACGAAGAUAACAUGACUCCAAAUUAUUAUUAUUAUUAUUAUUAUUAUUAUUAUUAUUAUUAUAUAUAUAUAUAUAUAUAUUCAAAGAUAAAUCAAAAAUAAAAAAAUUUAAAAUCCAAAAAUAUUUUCAGGACAUUAGGAGUUAUGCCUUUGCGCUGUAACAAACCAAAAUGCUGGAAGAAUAACUAGAUUGAGAUAUUUUGAUAAAAUAAAAUAAAGAAAGACUUAAUGUAAAGAGAAUUGAGGUCAAAAUCCAAACCUUACCAAAACCAAAAUAAAAAUUAUGCAAAUACUUGGGUCUCGCAACCAUGUCAGACCCGAACGUCAUGGGUUUGGCAACCAUGUCAGACACAAGAGAAAAUGGUGCUUCCUGUGUCCAGUCCUUCUCCUUCUUCUCAACCAAAUCGGUAGAAGAAAUGGAAGAGAAGAUGGCACCAAAUUGACAGAAAAGAGGACAGAGUUGCGAUGGAGAGAAGAAGACAACAAAAAGAGUAUGAAAUUUUAUGGUAUGAUUAAUGGUGAGAAAAUUAUAUGGUUUGCUUUUAUCUAUUCUUAAGAGUUUGAUGUGAUUAAUUAUUCUUCCAUUAACAAAAUGGAUGUAUCUAAUGAGAACAUUCUUGAUCUCACCAUCAAACCCAUAAAUUUAUAAGAAAAUGUAGUGGACUUUAUGGGAUUUUUUUCAAAGAUCUAACAUGUUUUUGUUUUUUUUUUUAAUAAUGUUAGGAGGAUUAGAGAUAGGUAACAUAAAGUUUGGACAACAAAUUAAUGGGCAAAACAAGUGAACUUUAAGUAUGUUGAAUCAAUAUUUUAUUGGAGGACAAUAAGUAUAUCUUUACGUUGUUAACAAAAGAAGCUUGCAAGAGUAAUUUUUCUUUGUUCUUGAUUAAAGUUUUUUAAAGUUGCAAGAGCGCGGACAUGUAUCUAACAAUUGAUAUCAACAUAACAGAGUUUAGCUUAAAUUCUGUAUCUAUUUAUUGAAAUUCAGGAGUGUUUGACAGACGUAUUUGUUGCUUUUUUUCUUAACAAUACAUUAAAAGUUCACAAGGAAGUAUUAAUUAGAUGUCAUGAGACCAUUCAAUACAUUUGCAUGGGUAUUUUGGUCCUUAACAAAACCAUUACCUUUAUCUAGCUCAUGAAAAUUAUGCAAAUUCUAGGCAUCAAACUCAAGCUAUUUGGGUUUGAUAAUCACACCAAACCCAAGAGCCUUGGGUUUGGUAACCAUUUUAGGCCCAAACAUUUUUGAUCUAGUAAUCACGCCAGACUUAAACGCUCAUGCCAGACCCAAGCAUUAUGGGUCUGACAAUCAAGCCAGACCCAUGCAAAUAUGGUGCUUCCUGUGUUCAGUCCUUCUCCUUCUUCUCAACCAAAUCAGCAGAAGAAAUGAAAGAGAAGAGGGCACCAAAUUGAUAGAGAAAAGGACAAAGUUGCUAAUGAGAGAAGAAGAUAACAAAGAGAGUGUUGAAUUUUAUGGUAUGAUUAAUGGUGAGAAAAUAUUGUGGUUUGCUUUUGUCUAUUCUUAAGAGUUUGAUGUGAUUAAUUAUUCUUCCAUUAACAAAAUGAAUGUAUCUAAUAAGAACAUUCUUGAUCUCACCAUUAAACCCAUAAAAAUUGUAAGGAAAAGUAAUGAACUUUAUGGGUUUUAACAUCAAAUGUGGGAUUUUUUUUCAAAGAUCUAAUUACAUGUUUUUGUUGUUUUUUUUUUAAUAAUGUUAGGAGGAUUAGAGAUGGGUAACAUAAAGUUUGGAUAACAAAUUAAUGGGCAGAACAAAAAAACUUUGAGUAUGCUGAAUCAUCAUUUUAUUAGAGGACAAUAAGUAUAUCCCUGUGUUGUUAACAAGAGAAGUUUGUAAGAUUAAUUUUUAUUUGUUCUUGAUUAGAGGUUUUUAAAGUUGUAAGAGCACAUGCAUAUAUCUAACUAUUGGUAUCAAUAUAGUAGAGUUUAGCUUAUAUUCUGCAUCUAUUUAUUAAAAUUCAGGAGUGUUUAACAGAGAUAUUUGUUGUUUUUUUCUUAAUAAUACAUCAGAAGUUCACAAGGAAUUAUUAGUUAGAUAUCUCGAGACCAUUCAAUACAUUUGCAUGAGUAUUUUGGUCAUCAACAAAACCAUUACCUUCACCUGGCUCACAAAAAUUAUGCAAAUCCAAGGCGCUAGACCCAAAGUUCUUGAAUCCAACAUCUUGGGUCUGACAAACAUGUGAGACCUAUGUUAUGUGGACUUGACAAAAAAUGCAAUGGACAAGCUUUGAUUUGGAUUCCACUCUAGUUGUCUUGGUUAUGCAUUAACUCCUUACCUUCUUAAAACUUUUCUAUCUAUUUUACUACUUAUAUGUUGUGUUAAUUUCUCUUUACAUUAUUAGCCGUUAAAGUUUAUAUUAUCUUACAUAUUUAGCACAAACAUAAACCAAGUUAAGCGUAACAAAUUAAAAAAAGCUUGGCUAUACAAUUUCAAUUGUCAUUAUCCAUUCAAUUUGCAUAAAAUAGCAUAAACCAUAUCAAAUAACAGAAAGGCCUACCAUUCCAUUUAUAACCAUCACGUAAAUUAUUUGGAGGAGGCACUGAUGCUAUCAUUUUUUUAUUUUCCUUGAAUGGGUACCCAAUUGUUACAGUAACCACCAAAGAAAACUAAUAGAAUAAAAAGUAAAAUGCCAGCAGACGAGAUAAAAUUACGAAUAAGGAUCAAACCAUUACGCCAAUUGAAGAAGUAAUAGCAAGAUCUAAGAGACAAAUAUAAUGGUACCAAGUAAGGUUGUUAAAAUCACGAGUUAACUCUUAAAAUCUUAAGAUUUUACGAGUUAACAUGUAUCUAACGUGCUAAAUCGGACAAAAAACUCAAAACUAGUAAAAUCAGAUUUAACUCGUGCAAAAUCGGUAAACUCGGUAAACUCAGUCCGAUUUUACGAGUUUACUAAAUUUGUGAUAUGAACCACGUCAGGUCCAAAUUUGGUCUUAAAAUGUCUACUGACUAGUUUUGCGAGAUUGAGCAUAUUUUUCAAACCGUAUAUUGAAUAAAGCUGAAAUUUUAUAAGGAAAUAUUAGAUACAUGAAAAUAUAUUGUGGUAAAUUUUCAGGUCAAAUGAAGAUAAAAAAACAUAAUAUUUUAGAGGAACAAAGUUAGUAAACUAAUAUUGUCAAAUAUGCCCAACAAGACCUUCAUAUACUGUUUGGGACAUAUCUAGAGUUACCGGUGGAAUUUUGCUUCGAUUAAAGUUGGGACAUAAACUAGACAUUUGAAACUUUCCAACUAUAUAUUGUAGGCCCAAUAAUUUAUCCAAACGAGAAAGAAAGACAUGUUUGAAAUCAUGAGAGAAUGACAUGUUUGAAAUCAGGACUCAAAUCUGCCAAGAAUAUGCAAAAAUUAGAGAUUCAAGCUACAUAGAGGAAUUUUAACAUAAAGACUUUUUUUUAUUAUUUUAUUUUAUUUAUUUAUUUAAUUUUAAAUAAUUAUUUUUAAUUUGAUUUUAUUUCUAGUGCAUUAUACAUUGUUUAGGAGUUUAUUUCAUUAUUAAAUUUAUAUUAGUUAAUUACUAAUUUAAACUUGUUAGUUUGCAACCUAAAAGGAGUCUAUCAAGACUUGUUGUGAUGGGAACAACCAAGUUGUCACUAGAUUUAUAUGUGAUUUCUACCUUUCAGUAAUUCCUCUAUAUUGAGAAAUUUUGAUCUGAGACUUUUUAUUUCUCCAUAUCAUUAAUUUAUUGAUUCAUACUAUCUAUCUCUUUUAUUUUAUUUAGAUCAUUUAUUGAUUAUAAUAUUGUUGAUAUAUUUUAUCAGAUUUUAAUAUAAAUUAAUUUUUUGGCUAGAAUUAUCAAUAUAUAAUUAAUUAAAAAAAUUUAUUUAUAAUUUUAUAAUUUAAAUUUACAAUUCAAAUUUAUAUUAUAUUUUUCAUAUCUUGUUAAAAAAAUAUAUUUUUAACAACCUUCCUACCUACCAGUUCAACGUUGUAAGUUUUUGUUAAGCCCUAACCUCGUCAUAAACUUUAAGAACCCAAGCACUUAAGAACACAAAUGGAAAGCUAAAUAUUUCUGCUCGAGGAAAUUCUUGGGAAGAAUGAGAAAAUACCUGCACAGAGAAACCAUAAACCUCCAAACUCUGUAUAAAUUUAAUAAUACCACUUGGCAACCACAAACUCAAUUUCUUUUCUUAAAAAAAAAUCAGCCCACAUAGGAUAAAAAGACGUAGAAAUCUUGUGAAACUCAAAUGUUCUUGAUUUCCCUGAAACAACUCCAUAGAACCUUAAAAUCCCUGAAGAAUGCACAUACUAUCCUCAAAAUCUGAACAUCAUCACCCGUUAUCAUUUUCUUUCACCGACCUCAAGACUGGCUGACAAAAUCCCGAAAACAGAAGAAAAAAAUCAAUGAAUUUACAUAGUGGCAACCCCAAACCCAGAAAAUCUUAAGAGAGGACACACCCUUCAACACCGCUAAUUCCAUUCUCAUUCAUAUCCAUUAUCCAUCCACCGCAGAAGCUGGACAAAAUGAUAAUUUGUAUUUCAAUCCCCGCCAAAGUCAAAUGCUUUGUUUUUCUCUGCUACCAAUCCCACGCCAUCUACCUCUGCCUCCCUUUUCACUCACCGGAAUCCUUCAGUUCUCUCCAAAAAAUUUUGUGGUUUCUUUCGAUUUCGAAUUCUUCAGUUCCUCCUUCACCGGGAGCUUUAUGACGUGGUUGAGGUGGUCAUGGGUUUGGGUGGGAAGCCACUAGCGAGAUUUCCAUCUGGGGACUUUGUUUUAUCGGAUUGUCCCAUCACCCUUUAGGGUCCCCAGCAUGCUACUUCACAGGUUUUUGGAUUGUUUUGUUAUUCUUUCCUGCUAGGUUUUUGGAUUAUAAUUUAUGUUAUUUUAGGAUGAUGUUUGUGUCCUUCGUAUUCUAUAUGUGAGAAAGGAUAUUGCCCAGACUUUCGUGGAAUGUAAAAGCUUCAUGCUUGUGAUGUUUAAAAAGUAUUUCUGCGUUAAUUAUAUCUCUUGUUGAAUUAGUGCAUGUGACAUGACUGGUUUUAAUAAGUAUAUUACGUAGGUUAUUGCUUUGGCAAAUGAAAUCUCCGAAGCAUGUAAUUCGUAUUAGUAAUUGGCAUAUGAUCAUUCUACAAUCAGCAAUAUGUAAUUUGGUUUUGUUUGGUUCGCAGUAUGAUGUCAUUAUUUAUUUAUUUAUUUCCUGAUCUUGAGACCUAGAUGCUUUAUUUUGUCAUUUUAUUAAUCAAUAAUUUGCCAGCUUGUGAGUGCUUACUAAGAUUCUAAUGCUUAGGUAUUCAUAGAGGAAGUUGAAAAUCAUAUGCCCCAAGUGAGUGUGAUAGAUGAAAUCGGGACAAAACUUGAAGCAAUGGCUGUGAGUACAAUUGCACAGCAUGAGUUCAGCUAGUGGCCACUGCUCAUGGAAUCACAAUAGGAAUUUGAUAAUGAAUCCUUCUCUAGAGAUGCUUGUUGGAGGAAUAAAGGUGACAUGAUUUUUUAGAUGAAGAUUAGUAAUUGGUUUACUGUCAUUUGCUAUAUUGCAAGUUGCUCGUUCAUAUAUAUCACUGUUAUGGUAGAUCAAAUAACUAAUCUAACCUUGACAUAAUCAAUAUUUUUUUCUUACCUGAUGAAACCAGUCCUUAUUGGUAAGUCCAUAAAAUUGAGCCAAUCAGCUAUAGCUUUGUUUGACAUCAGUUCUGAAAGCAAAUAACCAGUUCUUUAGCACUAGUUAAACUGAUUAAUUUAUUGUCCCACUGCUUAGAUGAACUUAGUAUUUUACUUGUAUGAUGUUAAACUACUCAAGCUCAAUUCCAGAUAGGCUCAAUAAAACUCGAGAUGAAUGGCAACACAGAUGAACCAAGUUUUGGCAGCUUAAGGCUUGGCUCAACCUGUUAAAUACCUUUUGAAGUGUGUGUUUGCAGUAAUAUUGAUCGAAGUAUCCUCUCCCUCCUUUUGUCUUUCUAGCCUGUUUUCCCAUUUUAUUUCCGCCACCCAACCUAACAAAAUGGUCAUGUCUCUGUAACUGAAUUGAGGAGACAUUAUUUUCCAACAAGUAAAACAAAAAAUGAGGUGUUUACAAGCAUACACACAAAAACAGAAUUGACAUCAAUUAUUUUAUUUGAAUAGAUGUGUCUUUCGCUUGCAAUCAUAUGAUUUGAUUUUUCAGAUUUAUUGUUGGGAUUUGAGUUCAAUUCAGAUCGAACACAAAAAGUUAAAAAGUUUUGGAUGCCAACUAUUUUAAUUGGUAAAGUUAUCUGGCCGGGGGUCAAGAGAUCAGAGAUUAAAUUCCACUUGAACCAGAGAUAGAAAAGGCUAAAAUACUGGGAGGGUUAGCUUCCAAUUACAUGACCUGAUUUUUGUGUUUUGUUGUUGUCAUUUGUGUUACAUUCAAAUCUAGUUUGUCACCUUUAUGUUAGUGCAUAAAUGUAAAACAUUUUGUGGCUACGAGCUAUUUAGUUGGUAAGGUCAUCUGGCACUGUGCCAAGAAAUAUGAUGUUAAGUUUCACGCUGGCCAGAGUUGUAAAGGGCUAAAAGACAGGGAGGUCUUUUAUUUUUUUUUUCAAAGAACUAAUCUAGCUUUAACUAAACUGAUUCUAGAUUAUUAAGUGGUCUUGAUUUCAAUAGUGUGAAUUUUUUUUGAUAGAAUAUUUUUUUAAAAAAUUACUUUCAUAUUAUUUCUCAAGAAGUCGGUGGAUUAUUAGUGAUUACAGUUGCAUGUUAACCCGGAGCAAUGGUCAUCCCCAGCCUUCCCCUUACUCUCUAAAUGUAAGAGAGACUAUUUAGAGUAUGGGCUUCCAGAGAAAGUAUGGACAUGUUAAAUGUUUUGAGUGUAAGCCAUUGAGAUUCCUACUACCCUGACCAGUUCCCUUUUUUUUUUUAAACAAAAACCUAGCACGGCUGUUAAGGGAAAAAAAAACAACAACAACAACAACAAACCUUUCCCAUUGGAGGCUGUUUGGUGCACAGAUUCAGGCUGUUCACAACAGCAUGGGAAUAAAGAAAUCAUCAAAGUGCUGCUAAGGGGUGUACUGAAGCUAAAAAUCUCUUUCAUUUAAACAGUUCAGCUCCUAGAAUUUCUAUUGCUCAACAAUCCAAAACUGCUAGCUCUAAGUCAAUGAUUUUACAAAGGAUUUCUCUUUUUCCUCGUGAUAAAUAAAGUAAGUUGUGAGAAUGCAUGCAUGUGUAGAAUACAGUUCUGAACUCCACAGCUUAACAUUUUUUUUACUCUCUUCUUUGAAGUGUGUGACACUUGAGUGUUAAUGUGUUAUUGAUGUUGCAUUAAAGUUUUUUCACAGCUUGUCUUUUUCUUACUUUCUUCUUUGAAGCGUGACACUUGAGUGUUAAUGUGUUAUUGAUUGCAUCAAAGUGUUUCCACAUGGCAUAUCAGGGAAAAUGUCAGAGCCUCAUAAAUGCCUUGUCGAAAACAUAUUAAGGGCCUAAGGACACAGGCAACAGAGGUAAAGACAAGGUAUUCAAGUGGCAGAGUUCCACUUAAUAUGUUAAACAUUGCCACUAAGGUGUAAAAGUGUCGCUGCAUGGUGUACAUUUUCAUUUUCUCCUUUCUUUAUUUUACUCAAAUGCUUCCUUUACUGCAUUGAGGAUCAAGAAUGUGUCAAUCCUUAGGGCAUCAAGUUUUGAGAAUGUUUUCAUGUUCUCUCUCUGCAAAAGAAAAAAAAAAAGAAAAACAAAAAAAAGCUGCCACCAAAGGCAUAAUUCUUGUGAAAUAAAUAAAGGAGAAAGAAAAAGGAAUGCAGAAAAGGAAAGAAGACGUAAAAGUAUCAAGAGAAGUGACAUUGUCUUCAUGGAAAAUCAUUAGCACUGAAAUUAUUAUACAAAAGCCGAUCAACUUGUCCUCAUAUGUGUAUUAGGAAGCUUGUAGUUUUGUACUGCAGUAUAAUUAUGUGGAAUUAAAUAGCAAAGAGAUACUAUUGCAAUUCCACACUGCUUUUUGCUUCAUUUAUUUUUUGUUUUUGUUUUUACUUUGUCUUUUGAUUUCAUUCUUGCUAAUGUGUGGCUUCUUGGGCGAGAUUUGCAAUGACUGCUCUCCACAUUGCUGCUAAAUCAUAGCAGUAGUGGCAGACUUGCAGUGCAAUCCUAUUUCACUACAGCUCUAUUAUAUUCUUUCUCACCUUUAUCAAUGGAAGGAUUCCCUAUUCUUUUAGUUACUCAUUCUUUGCUUUGUUACUAUUUUAUAUGCUGUUAUUUUAUGUUAAUAAUUUCUGGGCAAACAGAGACUUGUCUAAUUGGUUAUAUUAAUGCAAUUAAUUUUCUAGAGAGUGACACUAUGGGAUGAAGAAGCAAACCGAAGGGGUGUCCAGAAGAUGGUGAUGGAGAGGAAAGGGCCUUCAGCAUUUAGUUAUGGGGUGGAGAUAAUUUCAAAGACUGAGUUGCGAGUUCAUUGCAGUCUAGAAGCAACAGUGUAUGCUAUUCUCUUAGGUAUUUUUUCUUCUGAUAUAGUAAAACAAAAACAUUACUAUUUUAUGUUUCAGUUCAGUACGAAUUUCUUCAGAGGAAUUGUGGCGGAUAUUUUCUCCCUGAGUUGUCCUCUUUGCUUGAUUUGUUGACACUGUUUCUGUGAAGGUCGUUCCCCAUAUGUGGAAGUUUGCAAGAUGACCUCUCAUGGAGUAGAAGAAACUGUAGAAAAUGAACCUGCCUUGAAACAUAUGCUGAAAAGAAAGAUGAUGUUUUGGUUGAAGAUUUCCACUUGACAGAUGAAAGGAUUGGUCAUAAUGAGUUCACUUCUGAGUCUCAUCUGGACAUGGGAGAUAAUUCUUUGGAACAUGAAGUACUGCUUCGCCUUUAUAUCUAUAGGGUAAGCACUAUUUAUGGAGUUAACGUUCUCUAGUUGUAACUGGGUGGUUUUUCUUUGUAUAUGCAAGUUAUGUUUAAUGAGAUAGGAAAUGAAUUUCUUUUUGGAACUGAUAAGUUAUGUACUUUGAUGGCUUUAUAUCUGCAUAAUAAGAAAUUAUAGUUUUGUGCCCAACAUAGCAAACAAGUGCUAAUUUAGUAUUAUCUUAUACUACUAAGUCAACAUGCCAUAUUUCUGAAGCCAUUUCAUAGCAAGUAAAUGAAGCCUGCAAAACCAGCUGAUUUAGGAAAAUGACAUUAAAGAAGAAAACAAUUUCAAUAAAAAGAAAAGAAACAGAGAGAAAAUUGGAAAGUUUAAAAUCCCAUUAAUAAACAAUUUCUUCUAUUGCAAACUUUAAAUAAUUGAGUGUGUUGUUAGCUCAUUCCUCUUUUUUAUUUAUCUGUGGUUUCUUUUUUCAAGUUGUGGAGAGGUUUAAUCAAGUUGUGUAUGAAUACAAAUGCAAGUUGUCUGGAUUCUGAUACUAGAAAUCAUACCAAUUAUGUUUUUUAUUAUGUUUUUUAUAUAUAUAUAUAUAUAUCUUGUUCCAUUCUUUUAAAAACAACAUUUUUCCUUUACAAGGAAGUUUUCUCGAGUCUCAGAUAAUUUGGUGCUUGAAGGAUAUCUACAGUGGCUGUUCCUACUUAAAUAUUUGCCAAUUGUGGGUCACCUAUAUUAUUUAGAUAGGUAGUUUAUGUCUUUAAACAUGAUAGAACAAGCUGGGCUGAACUUUGUGUGACCAAGUUAAGAUUUAAAUUUUUCUUCCAAAAGAUUGGACCUACAUUUUAUUUUGGAAGCAAAACUGGACUUUGCUUUUCAGCUGAAGUUAUUAAAUUUUUAAUUUGUUGGCAUUUGAUUACUUCUUCGUAGUGUGAAAAAUACUGGAUAUGGAACUUACAUAAAGAGGAUACAAAAUUGUCAGACAAGAUCAAUGCCCUGGAGGUAAAAGUUAAAUUUCUUCUUUCAGUUGUGUUUUUUGAGUAUUUAUUAUUGAUUAAUCUAUUUUGUGAAUUGAGUGCAUGAACGAUGGUUUAUGUUUACAAGGGAAGGGAAGAAUUCGUGGAUCACAAAACAGAGAAAGUCUAGCCUAAAAUCAUGUCAAAUAUUAUGCAAUUAAAAUCCUACAUCUGCAGCUGAUUCUAAGUUGAACUCUAUAGCUGUAGCUGUACAGUGUAACGGUAGCAUAGGUUUAGCCUUUACAUUUGUAUAAUUCCUAAACUACUGUGUAUAUAAUAUAAUUCAUCAAUGAAAUGUGUGUGAAAUAAUCAUUGAAACUACUGCAAUAUUUGUUUCUUUAUAUGGUAUCAGGAGAGCCACUCUCUAUCGAGCAAACGAUCCAAAUCUCCAUUAUGACUCCCUUCUCCGAUCAAAAUCCAAUUUUUAUCCUUAACACCUAACCUCCUUUCGCAACAGAUAAACACUCAUUGCUCUCAACAUCACUGCCCAAAUCAAUGAAAAAUUUGAAGCACUCCUCAUAGGUUAUGAUUUACUCUACUACGUCGGAGGCACUUUUCGGUGCCCCUCCUCCACUGCUGAUGAGUUUCACAUCUCUUUCUAUCACCCCUCCCUCUCUGCUACGGCAAAAACCUCUCAUGAAGCUUGGAAAAAGCUAAAAACCCUAUAUGCUAGCUUGAAAAAAGCUAAAAACCCUAUAUGCUACCUGAGUAAUAACUAGUGCCAUGCAGUUGAAGGAGGAGCUCACCUUAAUCCAACAUGGCAAUCGGUCGAUCACAGACUAUCUCCACGCUAUUAAGGCCUAGGCUAAUGAAAUAGCCAUCAUUGAACACCUAAUAUCGGAUAAUGACUUAACCCUUUGUGUUGAAUGAUUUAGGUACAGACUUUCAGGAGAUAGCAGCACCAACUCGAACCAGGGAGUCAUCACUGGCCUUUGAGGAGCUGCAUGAUAUUUUUGUGGGACAUGAGGCGUUUUAUCAAUUGCUGUCAUGAAUGGAUAGGGUUUAAGGCAAAUGGAUGUACACAAUGCAUUUCUAAAUGGUGAAUUAACUGAAACUGUGUAUAUGGAGCAGCCCCAAGAUUUAAAGAUUUGUCUAAACCUAAUCAUGUUUGCAGGCUAAGACUACGGCCUUAAACAAGCCCCACGGGCUUGGUAAACAACACUUAGAAAUGCCAUUCUUCGGUUGGGUUUUCACAAUUCCAAGGCUGUUUGUUCUCUUUUCAUUGGCAGCCAAGGAUCUUACCUGGUUUAUGUUGAUGUUGAUGAUCUUGUAAUUACAGGGAAUAAUUCAUCCUUUGUGGCAUCUGUUAUUCAACAAUUGGGUGCUAUGUUUUCUCUCAAAGAUAUGGGUUCUCUUCAUCUCUUCUUGGGAGUUGAAGUGAUUCCUACCACUGGAUGUUUAUUUCUGUUGCAACAUAAAUAUGUGCGUGAUCUUUUAGCACAAACAAGCAUGAGUGGUGCGAAGGAUGUCUCAACAGCUCUAUCUAUUACUCAAUUUCUUAAAUUAAUUGAUGGCAGCGCUUCUGUGGACAGCUCCAACUUCCGUAGAAUAAUUGGCAGGCUUCAAUAUUUUUCCUUGUCGAGUCCAGACAUCUCAUUUGCAAUCAACAAACACUCUCAAUUUAUGCACAAGCCGACUACAAAUAACUGGACAACAAUCAAAAGGCUCCUCCCUACUUAAAACAUGUUAACAAUUGCGGUAAUUAUCUCCAAGUUGGAUUUGCAUCAUUCAAGUCCUACAUUGUCUCUUAUAUUAGCUGGAAAGAUAUAUUCCAGCAUCCCGGUAAAUACGUGAUUGUAUCCUAGUAGAAAUAGGUUUCCAUGUAAUUAGCAAAUCAGUCCUAAACUAUAGGAUCUGAAACGUAGGGAUUCUUAUGUAGAGUAGCUAUAUAUAUUCUGCUUGUAACAGAGGAAGUUACUAAGUGAAAAUAAACAAUUGAAUCCCUUUGAAAACUAUGCGUACGUUUUGACUUGGUAUCAGAGCAGGUUUAUUAUCUGCUCUUUAUAUCACCACACAAACCUUAUAAAUCUUACGAAUCCUCCUUCUCGUACCAUGGCCAGUGACAAAACCGAAUCAUCAUCUGUUCCAGUUAUCCAGGUUCAAUCAGAGAAUUCCAGUUUCUCAACCAAUGUCACCCUUACUGAAAGCAACUAUGAUGUCUGGUCUCAAAUCAUGGAGAUGCAAAUUGCAGGACGAGAGAAACUUGAAUAUCUUGUAAGCAACACAAUCCCAGAAAAAACUGAUCCAUCCUAUGCUAAAUGGUAUGCUGAGAAUCAAAAGAUUAAAGGAUGGUUGUUGACCUCCAUGUCACCAGAAAUUAUGAAACGCUAUCUUAGACUGCCUACUGCACAUGAAAUCUGGAAUGCUCUAGCCAAAGCAUUCUAUGAUGGGGCAGAUGAAUCACAGCUAUUUACCUUGAACCAACGUGCGUUCUCCACCAAACAGGUUGAUCGUCCUAUCUCUACCUAUUAUGGUGAUUUGGUAGAAAUAUUUCAAGAACUAGAUCAUCGUGACAAGAUUGUUAUGAAAGAUCCCGAUGAUGUCAUUGCCUACAAAAAAUCAGUUGAGAGACUGCGGGUGCAUAUUUUUCUGAAUGGCCUUGAUGAAGAAUUUGAGCAAAUUCGUGGUGAGAUCCUAAGGAGAGAUUCUGCACUAGACCUUGAAGAAACAUAUGCUUAUGUUCGUCGUGACUCUAUCCGUCGAAACACAUUGAAUGGGGAACCUGGACACUCAGAGCCAUCUGCUAUGAUAGCUCGCCGAAGUAAGUAUCAACGACCACAGAACCUGAAACCAGAUCGAGCUUCUGGUUCACUGAAUCAUAAUCAUUCAAUUGGAUCGCAAAAUCGCAGCUAUGAAAUAGGAGCUGCACGACCAGAACGCAUGUGCACUCACUGUGGUGAAACUGGGCACACUAAGCUACGCUGCUAUGAAUUAAUUGGAUAUCCAGAAUGGUGGGAUUUUUCCAAAGCACCCCGUAAGAGAAACUUAAAGGCAAAUCCUCAUGUGUCUGUUGCUGUGGCAGAACCAAAUCAUAUGUUUGGCAAGAAAUCUGGGAAAGACUCCUCUUCUGGUGCUAUUACUGGGAAUGCACGCGACACUGCUGAGAACACAGGUGCUGAUGCUGUAAAUGCAGGUAAGGCUCUUCAUACCUCCACUUCUGUUAGAAAUAGUGAAUGGAUAAUUGAUUCAAGUGCCACAAAUCAUAUGACGUUUAACAAUAAUAUUUAGACCAUACAACCCUCAAACCACCAUGAAAUUUUCACAGCCAAUGGAACUCCUUCUUCUGUGUCAGUCUCCAAGAAGAAGUAUAUAUGGAAUUACCUCCUAGCUGUAAACAGCAAACGGAAGGUAAUAAACAGGUCUGCAGGUUGAGAAAAUCCCUAUAUGGUUUAAAGCAGUCUCCCAGAGCGUGGUUCGGAAGGUUCACAAAUUUUAUGAAGACAGUUGGUUACACACAGAGUAACUCGGAUCACACUUUAUUCUUGAAGCAUAAUGAAAAACACAUUACAAUUCUCAUUGUGUAUGUUGAUGAUAUAAUAGUAACCGGAGAUGAUUCAGGAGAGAGGAAAAGAUUACACGAGCACCUUGCCCGUGAGUUUGAGAUGAAAGACCUUGGAGAGUUGAAGUAUUUCUUGGGCAUUGAAGUGUCACGGUCAGAUAAAGGUAUUUUUCUUUCACAAAGAAAAUAUGCCUUAGACUUACUAAGUGAAACAGGUAUGACAGCAUGCAGUCCAGCUAGCACUCCUAUGGAAGAGAACUUGAAACUACAUGGUGAUUCCAAUCAAGUUCCGACUAACAAAGAACGCUAUCAGAGGUUGGUUGGAAGGUUAAUGUAUCUUGCACAUACUCGACCUGAUUUAGCUUAUUCAUUGAGUGUGGUCAGUCAAUUUAUGCACUCUCCAAGCGAAGAACACAUGAAUGUUGUCACCCGUAUCUUACGCUACUUGAAGUCGUCUCCAGGAAAAGGAAUUUUGUUCACAAAAGGACACAAUUUGGAUGUUAAUGGUUAUACAGAUGUUGAUUGGGCUGGUUCUAUUCAAGAUCGACGUUCUACUUCUGGUUAUUUCACGUUUGUAGGAGGAAACUUGGUUACAUGGCGAAGUAAAAAACAGGAGGUAGUUGCUAGAUCAAGUGCUGAGGCUGAAUAUAGAGGGAUGACUAAAGCUAUAUGCGAAUUGUUGUGGAUUAGAAAUCUGAUGAUAGAUUUACAUAUUAAGCAAGUCAAUCCUAUGAAGUUGUAUUGUGACAACAAGGCAGCAUGUGAUAUUGCUCAUAAUCCUGUUCAACAUGAUCGUACUAAACAUGUUGAAGUUGAUAGGCAUUUUAUCAAGGAAAAGCUAGAAGAAAAGCUAAUUGAAGUUCCUCAUGUUCGAUCUCAAGACCAGCUCGCUGAUAUACUAACCAAGGCACUGUCAAACCACGCGUUUAGUACAAUUCUCAGCGAAAUUGGGAAUGAGUGACAUCUACGCACCAACUUGAGGGGGAGUGUUAAACAAUUGCGGUAAUUAUCUCCAGUUGGAUUUGCAGCAUUCAGUCCUACAUUGUCUCUGANNNNNNNNNNNNNNNNNNNNNNNNNNNNNNNNNNNNNNNNNNNNNNNNNNNNNNNNNNNNNNNNNNNNNNNNNNNNNNNNNNNNNNNNNNNNNNNNNNNNUCCUAGUAGAAAUAGGUUUCCAUGUAAUUAGCAAAUCAGUCCUAAACUAUAGGAUCUGAAACGUAGGGAAUCUUAUGUAGAAGUAGCUAUAUAUAUUCUGCUUGUAACAGAGGAAGUUACUAAGUGAAAAUAAACAAUUGAAUCCCUUUGAAAACUCUGCGUACGUUUUGACUAAACAAACCAUUUUUCAUGGUAUACAACUCACCAAUGUUGGACCUCCGGUCCUAAGAACAUACUCUAACGCUGAAUGGGCUGGAAACAUUAAUGCCCGCACAUCAACCUCUGCAUAAAUCAACUUCUUAAGUUCUAAUCCUAUUUCUUGGAGCUAAAAAAAAAACACAAAGAGCCAUCUGACGAUCCACAACAGAGGCUUAAUACCAGGCACUAGUGAAUGCAGCUUCCGAAACAUUGUGGCUGUCCACACUUUUAAAGGAACUUGCCUUUCUAGUCGGUGAAUCUCCCCAGCUGCUAUGUGAUAAUCUCGGAUCCACACAUCUCAGUUUCAACCCGGUCAAUCAUGACAUCAACCAUUCUAAUUAGGGUCAAGUUUAAACUCCACAUUUCCCAUGAUUAGCAAGAUUGCUAUCUGUUUUCGCUUAAGAUUAAGUUUUUAAUUAUAGUUUCUCCUUGGACGGAAGAAACAAAGAACAUUGAUUAAGGAAUCUACGAUAGAUUAGCAGUUUGACAAUGAUUAAUCAUCAUAUUAUCUGUCAGAUCAACAGUUAUAAUGUCCACCUUUUUCAGAGAAGCAUAUAAAAGCUUAGCGCAUCAAAAUGCAGUGGAAGUUAUUUUGCUCCAUCCAUUGCAUCCUUUUCAAAUUAUGUUUACGUGUUCUUGUCUGGAUGGAUUGAAGGACCUACUGAGUUACCAGGUGUAAAGUAGCUGGGAGGGGAAUGGGGUACUUAUCAUUUCCCAUGCAGAGGUUUUGGAUGAAUAGGGAGGAAGAGGACGUAAAUUGGAGAAUUGGAAUGAGAAUGAAAGAUUAAAUGUACUUUUAGGUGUUUUCAGGGAGGCUGCGUGUGAUAAAAAAAACAAAACCUCAGCGGGGAUGAUUGAGACACCUGAAACGCAGGAGGAGAUUCUGUAUCUCAUCGAGUUUUUUUGACUGGCUACAGUUUAAAGUAGUUUAUUACUCUAAUUGAAAAGAGGAAGGGAAUGCUGAGGCCCCUCAGGAAAGUGCGAUACUGAGCCAAGUUGAAUGUCUAUAGAAGAAGGCUACAAAAUGAUUAGGUAAACUUUUGUCUGUUCUGUUCUAGGUUUGUAUUUGUCAUCUGCAUGAAUUUAUUAUGUUGAGUUAUUGACAGAACGUAUUUAAAAGUUGAAAUACUGGUAAAAGAAAGGUGAGAUUGAGUUCAAGCACAGACCUCUUCCUCGCUUGAAUAAAUUGAGUUUGUCCUAGCUUCCAUUCAUUCCCCAUCCUAAAUCUGAAAUGAAGUUGAUAAAUAUUGACAGAAUGUGUGUCUAUAUAUGUGUAUAUAUAUUAAGUCGAAAAUUAUUAGGUGUGGGUUUUUUACUAUGGCCAUAGAUAUAUUUUACCGCAAUAGGAAAAUUACAAUAUCACCAUUUGAUUGAAAAAAAAGUUAUGGGAGUAUUUUGAUCUUUUCUAUUGGUCAUUAAAAGAUUGAUAGGGGUAUCAUAGUCUUUUUCUUUUUUUUUAUUGUAAAAAUACUCUUCUACCCUUGAGGUCAACAAAAUUUAGAAUUGUUAACUAUGAGUUUUUUUAACCUUUACACAAAUUUUAAAAUAGUAAAAAUACUUAUUUGCCUUUAAGGUAAAAAAAUACUUGAGUUAUUGACCAAGGGCUUUUUGGUUUUUCUCUUCUUGGGCUACAUUUAAAAUAUGUCUUUGCCCUUAGAAAAGACAAGAUAAGUUAUGCAUUUAGGGGUGUUUUGGUCCUUUCACUUUGGUUUAUUUGUUAUUUCUAGGAUAAUGAGGGGCGUUUAUUUGUUAUUUUUGGUUUAUUUGUUAAUUCGGAAAAGUUGUUGGCAUGUGGGUGGCGUCUGUGCUCUUUGGGUGAAGAGUGCGACGCCACUUAGUGUCCAAUCCCUGUCUUCUGCUGUGUUUUUAGAAGCGCCACCGCGUCCUCUUCCUUCUAGUGUUGCGCGUGAUAACAGUUGAUGGACGGUUUGUUGAUGGUGGUUGUUUCUUUUUUUCCUUCUGUCUUUUCUCCCUCCUCUAGAGAAAAUACAUGUUUGCUUUCUUUUUUUUUUUUUUUUCAAUUUUAGUACUUAUUUUUUUUAUUGCUUAUUUUUUUCCUUGACCCUUUUUUUUAUGUUUUCAAUUUAGUUCUUAAAUUGCAAUUUGUCAUAUAUUGUUUUUUUUUUCAAUUCACUCCUUAUUUAUUUGAUUUUUCAUUUUCACCCCUAGCUCUUUUGUUAAAGUUUUAUUGGUUUUCAACUUCAUCCUUCAAUCAAAAUUUAUGUUUUAUUUUUUUCAAUUUAGCCCACACAUUCAGUUGAUUUUUUUUCCUUUUGUUAAAGUUUUUUUUCUUUUCAAUUUAACCCUUCAAUUUAUAUUUUUUUGAUGCUCUCAAAUUUAUUUUUUAUUUUGGUUUUCACCCUCAUUCUUUUAAUUACAAUUUUUUACUCUGUUGAUUUUUUUCCGGUUACAUCUUUCAGUGUUUGAUUUGUUUGGGGUUGAACUUCAUAGUUUUUUUGUUUGUCAUGCUCCAAAUCUAAUGACACGGCUCACAAGUUUUAAGAGUUAAUAUGGUUAGCAAUCAUUUUUUUCUCAUUUUCUUUUACAAUUUUAUCAUUCUACAUUAAUUGUUUUUUUUAAAAUAGUUUUGUGGUUAUCUUCAAUUUCUUUUUUAUUGUUUUGUCUUCAAUUUAUAUGAAUUGAUAAAUUAUUUAAAAUUAGUAUUUUGGUUAAAUUGAAUUAAUUAUUUUCAUAUUUUGGACUAAGUAUUUUCUUUAUGUUCAAAUAGAAAAAUACAAUUUCUCAUAGUAUAGCAUCUUAGGGAGAUUCAGUUCAAUUUUUUUUUUUUUAAUCUAUGUUAGAAGGAAAAAUAAAGUAUAGUGUUGAUUAAGGUAUUUUCGUGGUCGAUAAAAGGAAUGACCUUGUUAAUUAGACAUUUUCACCAAAAUUUAUUUUUAACUUGCUGCCAAUAUCGCAUACUACAUUCUUUUUUGUGAAAUUCCUCUUGAUUAAGGCAAGGAAGAUAGGGGAAAAAAACCCACAACACCAACACAACUCUCUUCUAUUUUGAUUUUAUAGGUUUUUUUUUAUUGAUUAAUAGAUAUUGUUCUUUCAUUUAACAAUAUCCUUGUAGAUUUGUGAACCUCUUAUUGUUCAGAAUUAUCAGGUAUAAUUGGAAGGGGAGAAUGCAAAGAGGAAAAGAAUGGAACGAAUUAUAGAGAAUUAAUGAGUGAGAAUUAAAAAAUCAAAAUAGAAUAUAUAUAUAUAUAUAUAUAUUGUAACCAUAGAUGACUACCUAACCUUAAUCAGAAUCUAACCUAAUCUAUGCAAUAAGCAACAAACGUUCUAUCCCAUUUUGUUGUAGCAUUCAAAAGAUCUGUUUCUCUAGCAAAACAAAAGGAAAGGAAUUGUUAUAUAUAAAUUAUUUUUGUAUUAAACAGAUCAUAGUGUGAAAAUUGACUCCAUAUAUAUAAGAAAAAUACUAUGACAUGGCGAGCAAUGGAAUGUUCAUGCUAAAUUUGUUUUACGAUAAAUAACUCAACUCGUAGCUAACUCAGUUAGAAUAUUAGUAUUCAUAAUUCUAGUGGGCAACUCAUGCUAUGAAUUUGUAUAAUAAACUAUCUAUCUAUAUCUUGGGCAUAAAAGUUGGAGUGUGAAGGAUGGACUCAUUAUUUAGUGAAAGACACUUUGUACUUUACUAUAUUUAUAAAAGUUUUUUUUAUGUUUUCAAUUUAAUUCUUAAACUAUAAUUUUUCAUAUAUUAUUUUUUUCAAUUCACUCAUUUUUUUUAUUUUUCAUUUUCACCCAUAACUCUUUUGUUAAAGUUUUAUUGGUUUUCAACUUUAUCCUUCAAUCAAAGUUUAUGUUUUAUUUUUUUCAAUUUAGCCAACAUUCAGUUGAUUUUUUUUAAAAAAGUUUUUUUCUUUUUAAUUUAACCCUCAAAUUUAUAUUUUUUUAUGCUCUCAAAUUUAUUUUUUAUUUCAGUUUUCACCCUCAUUUUUUAAUUAUAAUUUUUUAUGCGGUUGAUUUUUUCCCUAGUUACAUCCUUCAGUGUUUGAUUUGUUUGAGAUUGAGCUUCACAGGUUUUUCGUUUGUCAUGCUUCCGAUCUAAUGACACGGGUCACAAGUUUUAAUAGUUAAUACGGUUAGCAAUUCGUUUUUUUUUUCAUUUUCUUUUACAAUUUUAUCUUUCUAUAUUUUUUUAAAAUAGUUUUGUGGUUAUUUUCAAUUUCUUUUCUAUCGUUUUGUCUUGGUCUCAUUACCUAGACCAUGAGUUUUGAAAGUCUUUUUUGGAUAAAUUGUUUUUUAAGAAAUUGUUUUGUUUUGUAUUUAAUUUUUGCAGAUUUUUUAUUUUAUACAAAUAAGUUUUGUUUUGUAAAAAAAUAGUUAUUUUGAAAUAAUAUUUAUAAUAUGUUUGGCCAUGCAUAAUUUUUUAUAUAUUUUAUUCACUUGGUUUCAUGUGUGUUUUUAUUUCUAUUAUCUUUUAUUGAUUUUAAUAAACAAGUUCGGUGGAUACAAAUGGGUAAAUAUUUUAUUUUACGAGAUUAAAUAUCUUAAACUACAUACACCUCUUAAUAUUUUUUAUUUUUUUAUAUAAAAAAUAUAAAAACUUAAGUGUUUUUGUUAAAAAAAAAAGAACUUACGACCCGCUGCAGCGAAACGCGGAUAAUUGUAAUCCUUGAAAAUGAAGAAGUUCAAUGGAUUGAAUGAGACGAUAGAAAAGUAGUGGUUGUUUAAUCACGCCCGCGUGCGCACUAAUUUUGACGUGGAAAACCGACCGUAAUCACUCGUGGUUUUCAUUUUUCAAGAAUAGUUUAAGGUUGGUGUUACCUUUAUAUAUGUAAGGAUAAGAAGAUUAAUCAUUAGUGGGCUGCAAAACAGCUUAAUUGCUAUUCCUCGUAUCAAUGUACAUAUAUUCCAUUGAUGCGUUCUUAGGUCAAUGAAAACAUGUUUAUAAAAAUGCCAAAGUUGUAAUAGUGAGUGAGCUAAUGAAGUCAAAAGCCAUGCUAACCUUUUCUAUGCUGCUGUGCUUGAUGACUCGUGUUUUGCUCACUGAUUGGUCUGUCAUGCACACUUGCUUCGUGAGCUUUUUCUUUCAUCUUCUGUCCUAUGUUGUAGUAAUUGUAUUUUCUAAGGGAGCGUAAAGUAGCUUUGCCCAUCUUCGAAUGUUUCCACUUGGAUUUCGUCCAAGCAAUUUAAUGGAUUUAAGCAAUCUGUGGACUCUGCGUAGUAAUUACAAUGGCCUAUAGCUUAGGUGUUUAGGAGAGAGAGUAUGUUGUUCUUGUUUGAACAUAUCUCUGUUUGUUACAUGCUGCACUAAGCCCAAACGUGGCUUAAUAAAAGAAAUAAAAAUUACAAAAAAAAAAAAAACUAAAAGAGUUCACUCAUGUACGGUAGAUUGUGAGUGUUUUCACUAUGGAUUGAAGCAGUGUUUAUUGGGGAGGAAUUAGUUGCUUCUCAUGAUAAGUUGUGAGCGGUUUGUUUUUUGCCAUUUUUUCGUGGUGUGCGUGGCAUGCCGUGGGUUGCUGGGUUGUUUAUUGUUAGUGGGUGUUUAGUGGGCUGUCGUUCUCCUGAUUUGUUUAGUGUGGAGGAGUUGGUAGUUAUAUACAGGCCUUACCUACCCGGUUGCGUGGUUGUUCUAGGAAGAGUGCUGGUCUGGUGCAGUUGGAUGAGAUUUUGGUUGAUUUUGCACGGGAUGAUAGUGGUUUCUUUGUUGUUUCUCUUCGUUCUGUGCAGGUAUAAGUACUUUGUCACUAUGCUAGGUUGGUAUAAGUACUUUGUGACUGUGCUGAGUUGUUUAUUUUAAUUAUUUCUUUUGGAUUUUGCUGGAUUCAAGGGACUACAAAUAAAUUUUGCGUUUGAGAUUGAUUGGGGUAGUCAUGUUUUUUUUUUUUUUUUUAUGAGCUAGUUUAUAGAAUAUUUAAUAAUUUAACAACAAACAACGUGUCCAGAUAACGUGGACUUGUCAGGCCCAAACAACGUGGACUUGGCAUGCUUGCCAGGCCAAGCAACGUGGAUCUGACAUGCUUGCUAAGCCUAAAUAACGUGUGUCUGGCAAACUUGUGUCUAACCCAAGUAAUGUGGAUUUGACAUGCUUGCCAAACCAAAAGCAAUGUUCUUCAGUCUUGCUCACAGUUAGUUAUUUUCUGUGCAACAUCUAACAACAAGAAAAACAAUGUAGGACCAUUGGCUUUCUGAAAUUUGAUGGGGGACGUGUCCAGAUGCGUUGAUCAUUGCUCAUACCAACACAAACAUUUUUAUUUAGUACUUCAUCACAGUUUUAAAAGAUAUUUGGAGUUUAAUUUUAUUUUGUUGGAAAUGAUUUUAAUUUUGUGAUUAGCGUUGUAUUUGAAAUGUAGAUCUAUUGAAAACUUGCAUGUCGGUCAAUGCCACUGUUGCUAUUAUGCAUUACAUUUGUAAUGUUUCUAUGAAAAAACAACUUGAAACAUAACAUGGGUUUGAUAUAUUUGCCGUGAGUUUGACAUGUUUGCCAGAUCCAAGGUGUCUAGACUUGGCGAACAGCGAAGUCCACAUAACAUGUAUCUGGCAUGAGAUUAUGAUAAAUUCAUAGAAAACAAUUAAAAAAAUAUAUGAAGCUCUACUUUCAACAAGACUAAUGUUGAAGGUUAAAAUAAAUAAAUAAAAAAGAAAUAUAUGAGAUCGUUAUAUAACUUAACAAAAAAAAAACAUUCAAAAAUAGUUACGAAACACUAUUUCUAAAACAAUUUAAUAUUGAAAAAUAAAAUUAAAAAAGAAAACUAAAUAAAAAAAUAGAUUGUUGAAUGAUAAAAUUAAAGGAAAAAAAAACAGAAGACAAAUAAUGAAUAAUGUUUUAUAAGUAUGACUUCAAUAUUAUUUAACUAAACCCUUUAGUGUUUUGUUAAUAAUUAAUUAAUAGGUGUUUUAUACGUGAGGUGGACAUGCUUUUUGUGUAUAGCUUGAGCCCAUGGUAUUCUAACUUGGAGAAUUCAAUUUGUAAUUGUGUAAAGAUAAAAUCAGUAGUCCCAAAUUGCAACGUGACCUGUUGAACGCUGGCCAUAAAAGAAUUUGGUAGACUAAUGUCCAUCCAGUUUUGUCGCUAGUUAUUGAACUCCAAGGCUAACACAGAAGAAUGUUGCUUGAAAGUAUUCAUUGCUUUACUCUUGAAACUGCUUGCGAUUUCCAUUUUCGUCAGUUCUGUCUAAACAAUGCUAUUGUUUUUUGAAUGCAGGCAUGGAGAUCUCACUGCCAUUCUCCCAGCAAUCAAAUUGAAGAAUAGCUUGAAAUGAAAUGAAAGAAAGAAAGAAAGAAAGGGUUCGAAAUUGAACAACACUUGAACGUUUUGUUCUGCAUAUGUUAGCCUUUUGCACUAAUUAAGGAUAAGAUAGAUUUAAGUCAUUAUAUUUAGGUUUUGGCACUUUAUAGUGAUGAGCUUCGUAUUAUAUUCGGUAGCCACAAGAUAGUGCUCUGUAAGCACUAUCUAACCUCAGAAACAGAUUAAUCAUUCUCUAUUCAAAAGCGAACCUCGGCUUGCAGCUAAUAUUAAAUUAUGGUGAUGGUGGCUCAGAUGGUGCUUUUACCUGAUUCUCAUGUUACCAUUUUCAUUUGUUUCCAAAGAACUCAAUGAGAAGCUAAGAAAAAAAAUAUUGUUUUUCAUGAAUGUGCUGGUUUGGAUGUGAAUAGCUUGUUAAAAGAUUCAUCCCAUAAUAGAUUUAUUCUGGAGUUCAAGAGGGAUUUGUGGGGGAAGAAAUUUCUCAUAAAUCUUAUAAUUUAAAUAUGGAUAACUUGUUUAAAAACUAUUUUGGAAGUGGUUAGUCUCAGUGUGAGGGAGAGUUGACUUAAAAAAAGAAAGAAAAUUCUAGGGCAUAUGCUCUGACAUCAUUCAGUGCGUAAUGGCAUCCAACAUAUCGGCUAUCACAUUAGUCGGUAAUGUAUCGAGCACUCAAGUUAUUUAUCAUUGCAUCGUCCAGAAAAGAAGAAAAAGAAAGGAAAAGAAACCACCAUCUCUCUCAGUCAAAGCUGAAGAAGAGAUGAGCAGCCAUUGCAUUUUAAUAAGCUUGGUUGUCCAUCGGUGCCGACAAUUCAUUUUGAAAAUGAACAAUGCCUUCUCGUGGAAGAGGUACUGAAGGUAUUGUUAUAAAAAACAUAACAGAAGGCUUCAAGAUAGUCUCGGGAAAUUAUGAGUGAGAAAGUGAUUCUGCGAAGUUGUUCCCACUCCUGGAACUCCAUCUGUACGGAAAGUCUGAUUGCAUGAACAAGUUUGGAAGAACAUGAAGGGUUGAGGUAGUGGGGGUACUGUUUGCUAUAAUUCCAUCUCUUCUUUCAGCCUGUAACACCAUCUUUUUCAGUAACAUCCGAGCCAAUCUAGCCUCAUAUAAUCUCACGUAAAUUAAUGCACUUAUCAUCUAUUUGAAGAUAUAUAGUGAGCAUAACAUAGAAUCCAAGUAUAUUUGUAAACGACGAUACACCACAAAAAGCUUAUUGUUAAGAAAGUUAUUAUUAUUUUUCAUCUUUUUUAAAAAAUUCCAUUUCAAUUGAAGUCCGUAACCUCUACAUAACUUUAUAUAUAUAUAUAUAUAUGAAAGAAGUUAGUGUAACACUCCACUUAGAGGUGGAGGUGAUUUGGUAGAAUAAAAGUUGUCUAAAAUUAAUAUAAAAUAAAAGUUUCAAGAUACAUGCACAAAUUUGCUUGCUGAAUUGAGACUUCCUCUCUCACAAAGAUUCAAGUUGUACAACUUGCUAGCUAGCCCUACGUAUUUGUGAGAAAGAGAAUCAUUCAACUAUGGAUAUAUUGAAUAAUUUUAAUACAAGGUAAAUAGUGUUUUGAGGUCCUAUGUUUCUCUCGUCAUUUAUUAGCUUUUCAAAUUUAGAAUAUGGAUGAUGCCAAGCCGCUCCUGACUAGGCAAAAAUCUCCUUUUCAAGAAUAUGACAUGACAUCUCACCGAAAUGAGUAGGAAGGAACUAUUCUCAGUAUCCGUGCUUCCCCAUGGGAUUAGAUUAUUUUUUAUGUAAAAAAUAUAUUUAUGUGCUGAAAUGAAUUAAAAAAAAAACAUAUAAAAAAUUAGUUUUCAUCGACUUGAUUUAAGUUAGUAUAGCAAUCUUCUAAUCACGAUAAUCAAGAUCGAGUUAAUUUGAAAUAUUUUAUUAAUUCGUAAUUUAAAUCAUGAAAUUGAAAUAAUUUAAUAAAUAAAAAAAUAAAAAAAAAUUAUCAUGAUUAUCAUGAUUUGGAUGACACGUAAGAAAAAUAUAAUAUCAUUAUAUACUAUUCUAGUAAACCGUCUGAGUCUACAACCACAGUACUUUUCCAACCAAUUUUAGCUUUUGUUAAUAUUCCCGAAUUUCUUACAAUCCAGAUGAACACAGAUUGAAAAGGGGUUGAUGGGAAAUUAUCAUGGUUUGAAAGCAAACGAAAGGCAGCCACCUGUCACUAUUAGGUAAUUUUGAACACAAUAAACCUUGGUAGUAUUCAAUUUUGACAUAUGCAAAGACAGAAAUAAUAAGAGGCGAAGGAAUCGGUAGAAACCAUUGUGUCCCUUCUUUGAAUAUACAAGUGAUCUCUAAAUCAAAGUGGUAUCCUUCAAAAUAAAGUUUUCUCUAUUUAAUUUGACCCUUUUCGAAUUAAAUAUCAAUAAAUGAUGGCUCGUCAUGUCUAUAUAUACCAAAUGCUCUAACUCUCUCUCACAACAUUGCACACAUAAAAAUUUUCUCAGUCAGCAUUCUCAUCCAAGACAAUGGCUAACAUGAGGCUGCUCUUGUUCUUCGUCCUCAUUAUGCUUUUAUUUUCGAUGUUCGAAACUCGUUCAAUCGACCAUGUUGCGCACCGAAGAGAUCGUUCGUUGAUAGAGAGUUCCAAAGAAAUGGUGAAGGAAAGCAUAGUAAGGCAUGAGAUGACUGGAGGUUUCAAUGAGUGUUUUAGGCUUAGCCCCGGAGGUCCUGAUCCCCGCCAUCACUAGCUAAUCCUGGCGACACGAGGGAAGCUCCACCACAGCAAUUGACUCAUGCAAAAGGAAAUGAAAAUACAUGUAGCAGCUAGCUACACCCAAUUUUCCAUUUCAAGCAUGUAUCUGUCUAGCAUUUGGCUGUGAUGGGGAUGUUUUGUUUUUCGAGUAUAAGAACACUCCUUCACAAUGAUGGGGCGACAAAAGUUAGGUUUCUUUUUAAAUGGUAAUAAAAUAUAUGUAGCAAUUGUCAUUGCUUAUAAUAAAAUGUUAUGUUCGGUACAAAAGGGUUUCAACUUUCGAGUACUGUCCUCAUUGCUUAUGCAAAACAAUUAUUUGGUGACAAUAUUUAAGUAAGCACAUUAUCUGGAGCUGCCUGCUUUAAGACAAUAUUAUUGAGUAUUGAUUAAUCGGUCAAUUUCUUAUAUUUUCCUCCACGAUCACAUUAUAAUUUACUAAUCAACAAAAUGCUGCAAGAAACAAUUGCUGCAACUUGAGCUUCCAUGCUUCCAUAAUUUUCUCUGUCAAUUGUCUGAGUUCCUAGAAAAAAGGAAAGAAGAAAAAUUCUUGCACUAUUUAGGGCAAAUUAUAUCAAAGCCCUCCAAUUCUUACUUAAGUUUAGAGUCUCACGUAUACAUAAUAUUUGAAAAGAAUAGCACUUAGGCAAACCCUUGAUUGUUGUCUGGGAGCGUCGAGCGUUUGAAAAGAUACAUGGAUGUUCAUGAAAACCUGAAGCAUCUAAAAAAGAUGGUGAAUUAACAUUCUAAAAGCAUGUAUGUUAUUUAAUUUUUAUCAAACUAAUAAUAGUUGUCUACUUUAAUGUCAACAAUUUUUUAUAUAAAAAAUGAAAACAUUUAAUUUCUUUUUUAAUUUCAUCCUUCAACAUUAGAUUGGUUGGGAUAUGGACUUUAUAAAUUUUUUUAUUUGCUUUCUAUGAGGUUAUUCAUGUGUUGUAACCUGGGUCACGGGUUUGACAAGUUAACUCGGGUUUAAUUGGGUCGGUGUUUUAUCCUUUCUAUAAUAUUUUUUUUUAAAUUUCAUCCUUCAACAUUGAGUUAAUUAGAAAUUGGACUUCAUAAUUUUUUUUAUUUGCAUUAUAUUAGGCUAUCUCAAUUUCAUGACAUGGGUUGCAGGUUCAAUAGGUUAAUCCAUAUUAAGUUGGGUACUUUUUAUUAAUUUAUUUUUGUUUUUCAAAAUAAUCCUUCAACAUUUGGUUGAUUGAAAAUUGAGUUUCAUAAUUUGUUUCACAUUAUUUUCUACGGAAUUAUCAUGAUCUCAAGACUCAGUUUGUGAAUUUGAAAGGCGAAUUUAGGCUAACCCAAGUCAAUCCAAUAUGUUGUCAUCUCAAUGUUUUUUUAAAAAAGAUAUUGUCUUGAAUUUUUAAUCAAACUACGUUUAUACCAGUCAUCCAGGUUGCAUUUGGACCCACCUAGUGUACUAGGUCACAACAGGUCAACCUCCCCACGAUUAAUUUUUUUUCUUCUAAAACAUGUUAGUAACAUUUGAUCAUUUUUUAUUAAAAAAAAAUAAUUUGACCCGCAGUAUAAGACAAACCAAUGAUAUAGUUAUACAUGUAAUUAAUGAGUUUCACAAUCAAUUGACUACUUUAACACUUGUAAAUUUAGUCCCAUAACUAUGGAUCCAUUAAUUUCAUGUGUAAUUUCAAAUUAUUUUAAUUUUCUACAUAAGAUAUAAUUGAUAAUGAAUUAUUACUUAUUGGAUAACUCGAUAAAAAUUGAUAACACACAUAUUAAAAUAGAUGUGAAAUUGAGGAAUUUUAAUAAGUACAUGGAUGGAAUGAUGAUGUGAGUCGAUUAUAACUUUUAUGUACAAAAUAAAAAGUAGGUCAUAACACGACCAACCUCUUAUUGUUGUUGUUGUUGAGAAAAUGAAGUUAUGACUAACAAGAAAGUUGUUGGUUGUAGAACAGGUGAGAUCAUUUUUAUCUGGAUUAAAGACCCUUUCAGUAGUGUGUGUGUGUGUGUAAAAACAUACUUUUAUCACUAUUAGGAUUCCAUCCUAUUGUAAUGAGAUUGACUUCAUGAAGACUGCAUAUAAGGAUUGAAAUUGGCUAAUUUAAAGAAAAAACCUUUAUUUUUUUUCUUGAAAAUGCUUUAGAAAUUAAAUAAGUAAAUUUUUUGACAAAGAUUUCUGAGUGAAUAAAUAAGAUUUGAUGUUGUACCAGUGUAUUAAAGGUGUAGUAAGAUCCGACAAGCCCUUUUCAUGGCUUAACUACAAAUCUAAUGAUUUCACAGUUCACAUUGAUUAACUAAGACAUAUUAGGAUAAAAAUUAUUAUUAUCACAGUUUUAAAACCUAACUCGGUGGUCAAUUUGUGACAAAGCUCGGGUCACUGUUCAAGGCCUGGAUCGUGGGUUAACUUGACCCGAAUCAGUGUAGGAAUAAAAAUGAUUAGUAUUAUAGUUUUAAAACUCGGUUUGAGGGUUGACUCGAGGCAAAGCCCAGAUCAUAAGUAAGGUUGACUAUUGACUCGUGUCAAUGUAAGGACAAAAAUUAUUAUUAUCAUAGUUUUAAAACUCGACUAAGAAAUCGACCUAGUGUAAGGCUCAGGUCAUGUGUCAGGAGGGUCAACAUAAAAUAAAAAUGGUUAUUAUUGUUGCUACCCAUUUUAACCAAAAAAUAGAGAAAAAGAAAAAGAAACGAAAAUAUAUAUAUAUAAGGGAAUACACCUGAAGAAAGCCUAAAAGAAAGACCACCCAAGUUUGUUGGUGAAAAACCAAAACGCCAAGUAAAAGUUGAAAGACCAAAAUGUCUAAGAUUGAUAAAAUUAGCAACCAAAAUUGUGAUUGGUAAAAAGGCUCAUUAGUGAAAAUGUUUUAUUUAGGUGUUUAAGGACUCAAUUGGAAUUUUGAAAGGUUUAAUGAAGUUUUUUUGUGGACUUAAUCGCAAGAGAAAUCAAUUUUUAAGAGUCAAUUUGGAUGUUAAUUGAAACAAAUUGAAGUUUGAGGACUAAAAUUGAAUUUUGAAAAGUUUAAUUGAUCAAAUCAUCAGGGGCUUACUUGCAUAAAAUUCAAAGUCUAGUGAGCAAUUAGGGAUUUAAUUGAACAAUUCAUAAACCAAAGACCAACUUGCAAAAGGUGCGCGACUUCAUAGAUUGAAAUCGGUGAAAUCAGAUGUAAAAUCGAAGAAAAUUGAGAGUUUAAUGGUCAUCUGAGGGUCCAAUUGAACAAAUCAAAGACCAAUAUAAGAGGUGCUCAAAUUUGAGGAUGGAAAUUGAAUCUAGCAGAGAUGCAAUUGCAUGAAAUUAGAAGUUUAAAGGGAAAUUAUGAGUAAAAUUAAACAAAAUUUAAAGAAUAGGGAUCAAAUUGAAAAUUACUAAAUCUCAAAUAAAAAAACCCUAAUCUGUAGGGAUUAGCUAAAAUGGUGCCAUUCAAGAUACUAUGCAUCUUUUUUUUAGUUUUUGGAUGAUCGGAUAGACACUUUCAAGUGAAUGAAUGUGGCGUUUCUAACUACUUCAGAGGCUGAAACCACCACCAUUAAACUUAGGAACACCCCCUCUACAACCCUAUGUCUUUGAAAUCAAAUGUUUACAUCCUAUAUUCUUCAUUAAUCUCCACAAUAUCUUAUUCCUUAUCAGUUAUCACUGCAGUUUCAGUUGUCAUCUAUUUGAGUGGACACUUUCAAAUGCUUGAAUGUGGAGCCAUAAACCUCCAAAAACAAGCAAGGAUGGAUCUGAUUAAAAGGUAUGCACCCCCUCCACCAAGUUUAGAUAGCCUCAAGCAACGUUGACGUCAGAGUUACUCCGACGAAGUCACGAAAGUGACCAACCUAGCCAGUCUUGACCAAGACACCCAUUUGCAGAAAACCACCUAACUCUUUCAUGUGUUUCCCUUUAAAAACCCCUAAAGGAUUCCUAUCAAGGGUCUAAAACCCUUCUCUCUAGAUCUAAAGGCCAAAACACCUCAGUUUGGCCUUCAAGUUUGUUACAAAACCACCUAAACCCAAAAUCAUUGGUUCUGUAUUAAAACUAGCUUGGUUUUAGUUUGUUAGAACCCUAAGAAACAUAUCUAGAAGCUCGAAAUCAGCUUAUAAAAAUAGAGGUAAUCAAGAGCGGAAAGAAAGAAAGAAAAAGGGCAAAAAGAGAGUAAAAGAAAGAAGAAUAAAUAAACUUUGGCUAAGGUGCAAGAAAUUCAAUCCAUGAGACUUGGAAGCUUCAACUCUCUAUGGUUAAGUUUGAAGAUCAAGAAGAAGGAAGGCAAUAUCAAAAAUCAAUUCAAACUUGAAGGUUUUAAGCUAAAAGGUAUAUACAUUCAAAAGGAUGGUUCCAUGUUCUGGGUUUGUGGUUUGGUAAUUUGGAAUGAUAAAUGAUGAAUUUUGAAGCUCAGAUUGUUCAAGCAUGCCUUUUGCUUUGAGUUGGUAGUUUUUUGGUUUGAAAAUCAAUGCAAUUUUUAGCUUUUUUUUGUUUUUAUUGUUUCUUUGGUCCUAAAUAAGGUUUGUGGAAAUAAGGAAAGCAUGUUUUUGAAACUCAAAAUGGUCAUUCUGGGUUUGCUUAAGUUUAUGGGUUUUUCUAGUUUCUGCUAGGUUUUAGUUUUUGCAAAUUCAUCCAAUAAAUCUUGCCUUAGGUACUAGUUUUAGAGCUCAUUUUUUUGUCAUUAACUCAUAUAGAAUAUGUUUGUAUCAUGUAGGUUGCAUGAUUUUUUGUAUGCAGUGCAAAACAAAUCUAAAAAAUAUGCUAGAGAAAAUGCUCUGCCAUGCUGGAAUGCCAUGACAGUAUGGAAAAAUUUUAGGCCACCAUACAUCCCGGAGAAUAUAUGGACGGAAUAUAUUUAGCACGUGAUGUCUGAGCAUUUCACACGACACUCACAGUCCAGUGCGGGGAACCAGAUCGGGAAAAUUCACGGUUCGAUUACCACGCAAAUUGGUAGCUCCGUUCCAUUCGUUUUGCAUGCGAAACGGAUGGUAAAAUUAAUUUUAAUCACAUCUAUCUGUAAUUAAUUUGUUUUUAUUUAUAAAUAUAUUUAACUGAUAAUAUUUUUUUCUUAGAGGCUACGACUCUUGGACGUAAGUCAAACCUAAUGGAGCUUUUUGUGGAAAUGCACGUGCGGAGUGAAGACCACUAAGAAGAAGUGUAACAGUUCGUCGACAACCGCGCUUAACAUUUUAUGGUAUGUUCGUUCAACCAUUUUCUUUCAUAAGUUAUUAUUUUUAUGAAUUGAAUUUGAUGAUUUCAUUUUUUAUUUCCAAGAGACAUUUAACAGCUAGUUGAAGAAGAGAUAUGGGGAUGAUUCUUCGACCCACUCGGAUUGAUCCUGAUUUGUGGAUGGAGGCAAGAUCAUCUAAUGGACUCAAUAGAAAUCAGGUAUACAGACUCUCCAACACUACGACCGAGAACUUGGGGACGAACCGUAGUGUUUCAACCGUUAGGAGCUCGCAAUCGAUACCGGGCACCCAGUCUCUAGAGUUCUCAACCUUACAAGAACGUACAACCCAUCUAAAUGAAAAAUAUGAAUGACUCUGUACAAAAUAUAAAGAACUCCACCGAAUGGUCAUGGAUAUUAGAUCAUAGAUGGGUGGUACAUGUGCAUCCCUUUUUGGCCCUAUGGUCCUGGGAACGACCGCCCUUCUUUGUAAUAAAUAUUUGGCUUUUAUAUUACGAUAAUUUAUUUGUACAUACUUGAAUUUUAUAAAAUUUUAUUUUUUUAUUAUUUUCCUUUUCUAUUCAAUAUAUAUAUAUAUAUAUAUAUAUAUUAUUUAAUUAUUACGAAUGGAAUUACCGACGGACUCAAUUCGUCGGUAUAUUCCAGAGAAUUGAAAAACAUUUACUGCAUAUGCCACUUCAACUGUUACAUCGCCGACAAAAUUAUUCUAUCAUAUGUUUCAGAGGGUUGGAAUAAAAGUACUCCAAAUGCCACUGCCAAUCACCGACAAAAUAAUUUCGUUGGUAUAUUCCAACGGGUAAUUAUUUUUUUGGUGCGUAUUGUUAGUCUGUAAAACAAUCGGGUUUUUUUUACCAACGGACAUUUCGACAUAAAAUAAAUUACCGAUGAGCGGUUUUUCGACGGACAUUUUAUGUCCUUGAAUCAGUCAGUAAAAUACGCGCCAACGGAAUGGUAGAGUAAAUAUCGACUAAAUAUUUUGUCAGUAAAACUGUUAAAUGUAGUAGUGAAUGAUCGGUUCAUUGAAUCCAUGAGAAUUUGAUCAAUAUUCCAAUAACCACUUAAAUUUUAAUUCAUGGGGAUUAAUGGUUAAUAUUCUAUUAUAAAUGUUGGACCUCCAAGUGAGGCUGGUAUCUAAAUAUUGAGUUAACUAGAAAAUUCUCAGAGUUAUUCUAAAUAUUCACCAAUUUUAAUUGGGAGUAUUUUUUGCUGUAAUAUACAAAUUACAAAAAACCUUUUUCAUAAGAAUUUUUUGGGUACACGAGCUUAUAAUAAAUUCUUAACACUAGAUUUAUUUACAUGAAUAAAUCUCGAUUCUAAGUCAUAGAUAGACUAUCGAUUAGAAAACCCAUUAAAACCACAUCAAACCACACAGUGUAGUUUACCUUAGGUAAGAUGCACUAGGGGUACCAAUACCUUUUCUAGCCACAACCAGUCUCUUACCCUUAAAGUCUCUAAUAAAACUAGUAUACUCGGGUUUCCUAGCAACCUUUAACCAAACAACUAGGUGGCGACUCCUUCAAACCCCCCGACAUCGCAUGUCCAUGUGUGAUAAUUAUCACAAUUUUAAAACUUGAUUCAGUGGUAAACCUGGGGCAAGACCCGGGUCACAGAUUAGGAGGGUCAACCUAGGUUGACCCAUGUCAAUGUAAGGAUAAAAGUUGUUAUUAUCAUAGUUUUAAAGCCCGACUCGGGGGUUGACUGGGACAAGGCAUGGGUCACAGGUCAGGAGGGUCAACACGGUUUCCCCGAGUCAACGUAUGAAUAAGAAUUUGUUAUUAUCAUAGUUUUAAAACUCGAUUUGAAAGUCGACCUGAGUCAAGGUUUAGGUAAUGGGUCGAGAGGGUGAAUUCCGCUGACCCAAAAUUUCUUUUAAAAAUAAUCAAAACAACCUUGUUUUGACCACAAUUUAUUUUUCAAAAAAGUCAACGGGUUUUUUACACAUGUUUUAUCUCGGGUUGACUUAUUGUUUUACCAAGUUAAGCCGUGUCAAUUUUUCUUAUGUUUUUUCUUAAACUCGAACCAAUCCAGGUUCUGGAUCAACCAGCUAAGUCAAUCCUGGUUUUAUAACUAUGGUUGUUAUAAUAUUAUUAAUUUCAACACUCAAUAUAAACUAAAAAGAAUAAUAUCUAAUUAUUUUUUAAAAUAUAUAAGUUUGACAACAAUAUAUAUUAAUUAAGGGUAAAUAAAUUUUUUUAUAUUUUUUUAUCUUGUUCAGCAUAACCAUAUAGGAUACAUAGACAAUCACUUUUUUUAUAUAUAUCAUUACCCCCACACAAUUUUAUCUUCGUCUUUUUUCAAUUGUAUCUUCGUUUUUUUUUUGUCGUGUCUCUUUUGUAUCUACUACUUUGUUUUUUUUUUUUUUGUCUCAUGACAGUAACCAAAUGCUAUCUUAUAAUUUUAUUUAUUGAACGUAGUUUAUUUAUACAUUAAUAUAUUGGUAAACUAAAUAAAAUCCUUCUGAAAUCAUUUAAUUUUACUCCUUUUUCUUAUCAAAACUGAAAACGUUUUUUUUAUACCUCUUUCAUUGUUUGUUAAAGAGCAGAUUAAUUUUGUUUUCAAACAACAAUUUAUAUACACACACACAAUAUGAGGAAAGCAUACCCUUAAAUCUUUUGCUCGCAUAUUUCAUACUCAAAUUCUUUAAACAUCUAUAUUUUCAAAGAUUGAUAGUUAGCAUUAUUCCUUCUCUAUCAUAAUAUGGUUGAUUAAUUACAACCGAAAGAAAAUGUACCUUUCCGAUCAUGGAGUUUUUUUCUCCAAAUUUAAAAGGAAGCUUUUGCACAUUGGUAAUUGAAUGUUCAAGACUCUGUCUUCAAUUAUGUAGCUUUUGUAAAUUAAUAUGUGGGAUUUUCACCUACAGAAUACAUAGUAUUGCUUUAAUGAAAAAUAAUUUUUGAUUAAAGUGUCCAAUUGAAGCAAACAAUAUACAUUAUCAACUUGGGAAGCUAAUUCAUAGCGUUAUAAUUUAGGAGUUGGUGUUUUAAUGUGUGUGUGUGUGUGUCUAUAUAUAUAUAUAUAUAUAUAUAUAUAGCUUUAUAAUUUAGGAAUAUAUAUAUGUGUGUAUAUAUAGAUAUUAGUUACGGAUAAGUCUGCAAUCCCAAGUCUAAUCAAGCGAAUAAAACUGAGAAAACGAAAAUAUAGUUAGCUUCUGGGAUCUCGAAAAGACAACGGUCAAUUACGAUCACAAAGAGAAGUGCAGAGAGGACAAAAAGUAAUAUAUCUCUCUAGAGUAUAAGUAGAUGGAUCUCCUAUACUAUACAUGUUAGAAAACCUCCGUUCAUGCUUAAUUUCUUGCUUGUCCUUUUCCUUGAAGAUAAGAUUUGCCAGGUAGGAAAAUCUUAGUGCAUUCUAAUCUAAAGAGUAUGAGUUUCGAUAACAAAUGAUGAUAAAUCUUGACCCUCUAGCAUAGCUUGUUGUUGUUGGUCAGUAUUUAUCCCUUCAUGCUGUCCAUUCUUUUGACCUCUUUUUCUAUCAUUUUUCUUUUGUUUUCACUGAUUACUUGAACAGUCCCAUCUUUCAUAAAAUAAAUGACUACUUCUUUAAGAAUUUCUGAAUCAAACAAAAUUUCGAUGGUUUCAUAUACAAACCUUCUCGGAACAGCCACCGGAGUAAAGAAUGUCACAUUUACUAUAUUUGUGCAUAUGGACAACUUGAAGAUCCCAUGUCGGCAUGGCAUGUUUGCGCAUGACAAUUUGAUUAUGGGAAGAAAUUCUAACUACUUUAGUGCAGAAAUAGUGCUUUAAUGUGGAUGAUGUGUUGUUUUAUGUCUGUAUAUGCUAUUUAAGCAAGUGGAAGUGAACAAAAAUGAACCAAAACAGCUAGUUUGGUUUGUUAGUGAAAGGAAGAAAGAAGUAACAAGAACAAAAAUUUGCUACUCCAAUGAGGAAUGACUGCUCGUGUGUAUGUUUUAAUGUAAUGGAGAUGACUAUGAAAGCAGAUCGAUUCAACUCGUUAUGGAGAUAAGACAAGCGACUACAGCCUCUGCUUAACAGUGUGUUUCCAUUAAUUUCCUGUACUGUAUUGACUAAGGAGCAUACAAGUCAUUUCAACCUCUCUCAAACGUAGGUAUAUAAGAAGGCUGUUGUUGCUCUAGCUUAAUGUAUUACUACAUUAGCUCACGUAAUUGAUUUCCUCUAUCAUCAUAGUAUUAUUUGCCACUCUCACGAUUGAGUUCUUUGCGAACUAUGGCAACUUCGAUGAAAAUGAGGAUCUUGUUACUGUCCAUACUCUUACUAUUAAUGCUUGUCGGGAGCUCUGAUGCACGUUUUUCUCGUAAGUUUUCAAUCAUGCCAGAGAAGUUGGUUAGCCGCCAUAUUUUACGUGAUUUGGGCUACGAAAUGUCGAAAGUUGAGCAUUAUAGAAGGUGGAUGCAAGACACCGAUAGAGUCUCACCGGGAGGGCCCGAUCCUCACCAUCAUUAAUUGUUACUAUCUGCUAAUAUUAUUGUUGCUGUGGUUUCCAUGUUGAAGGGGUAUCUGUGCAAAACCAUAUUUUGUCCGCCAGAUUUAGUUCGAGCACUACCUUAUUGAAUCCAGGACAAACUAAGUCUUGCACAUUUGUCAUGAAUUAGUUUGAUGAGUGUUUUUUCCUUUUCGUUUUCGUUUUCGUUUUCGUUUUCUUUUUUGCUUGCUUUGCAACACUUACUACUGAACUUGAGAAGUCACCCUAGUUGUCUUGCAAGAGCACUCACCAUUAAGCUACAAAUGAGUUGAGUCUUUAUCGGACACUAGACUGUCUGUUUUUGGUAUUGUAACACCUUGAAAUUUUUAAUGCAUCUUUGUUUAUUUAUCAUGAUUUUUAUACGUGUAAAU